AGGGAAAAAAAAAUCACAAAAUGCUAAAGCUACCAUCUCCAAUUUAGAAGAGACCAUUUAUGGUGUUACAAGUUAAUAAUACGAUAAUCAAAGGACAAAUAUCUCCAUUUCUACUAGUUAGAGGAACCUUUACAAUCUUCAAACUGCAAAGAUUUUAGAUAUACUAAAAGGCAUCAAGUACAUAAUCUAAACAUAAUUACCCAAUUUCAAAAUAGAUUAUCCUAAUAUAUACAUCAGAAAUAUUGCAAGGCAGGAGAUGCUGAUCAAUUGUACAAAACAUAGUAUCCUGUUAAAAGGAAAAGAAAAGUUUAAAA
rnacentral:lncRNA from 1 species